CAACAGGGAUUGCCCUAGUAACGGCGAGUGAAGCGGCAACAGCUCAAAUUUGAAAUCUGGCUCUCGGGCCCGAGUUGUAAUUUGUAGAGGAUGCUUUUGGUGAGGUGCCUUCCGAGUUCCCUGGAACGGGACGCCACAGAGGGUGAGAGCCCCGUCUGGUUGGACACCGAUCCUCUGUAAAGCUCCUUCGACGAGUCGAGUAGUUUGGGAAUGCUGCUCUAAAUGGGAGGUAUAUGUCUUCUAAAGCUAAAUACCGGCCAGAGACCGAUAGCGCACAAGUAGAGUGAUCGAAAGAUGAAAAGAACUUUGAAAAGAGAGUUAAACAGUACGUGAAAUUGUUGAAAGGGAAGCGCUUGUGACCAGACUUGGGCUUGGUUGAUCAUCCAGGGUUCUCCCUGGUGCACUCUUCCGGCCCAGGCCAGCAUCAGUUCGCCCCGGGGGAAAAAGGCUUCGGGAAUGUGGCUCUCUCCGGGGAGUGUUAUAGCCCGUUGCGUAAUACCCUGUGGCGGACUGAGGUUCGCGCAUUCGCAAGGAU
rnacentral:rRNA from 1 species